AUUGAACGCUGGCGGAAUGCUUUACACAUGCAAGUCGAACGGUAGAGGGGGCAACCCCUCGAGAGUGGCGAACGGGUGAGUAAUAUAUCGGAACGUGCCCAGUCGUGGGGGAUAACGUAGCGAAAGUUACGCUAAUACCGCAUACGAUCUAAGGAUGAAAGCGGGGGACCGUAAGGCCUCGCGCGAUUGGAGCGGCCGAUAUCAGAUUAGGUAGUUGGUGAGGUAAAGGCUCCCCAAGCCAACGAUCUGUAGCUGGCCUGAGAGGACGACCAGCCAAACUGGAAAUGGGACACAGGCCAGACUCCUACGGGAGGCAGCAGUGGGGAAUUUUGGACAAUGGACGCAAGUCUGAUCCAGCCAUUCCGCGUGCAGGAUGAAGGCCCUCGGGUUGUAAACUGCUUUUGUACGGAACGAAAAGGUCUCUCCUAAUACGAGGGGCUCAUGACGGUACCGUAAGAAUAAGCACCGGCUAACUACGUGCCAGCCGCCGCGGUAA
rnacentral:rRNA from 1 species